rnacentral:rRNA from 1 species
AUGGUGCCAAGAGAUACGACUGUCCUGAGUCAGCCGAUAAUGCAAGUUAUGGGUGAUCUAAACCUGUUGGGUGUUGUGGAAUGGCGACUGGUUAUCUGUUCUAUGGCGGCACAUUUAUUUCAGAACAUGCAAAUUGGGCCGUAUGAACUAGGUUGUGCUGCUAUUGUUUUCCCUAAUUGCUCUAAACAUUCCCAAUGGAAAGUUGCAUGGCCACUCAGUUCCAAAAGGAAAACAUCUGCUGGCAGGCCCUGUUUUAUGCCAUGGCCAUCAUUUGCUUGCUCUCCUGACGGAGUUACCCUGAAGCACACAUGGAUGCUACCACAAGUCAUUUAUGUGAUGAAGAGUUUAUCUGGUAAUCUGAAUUCUCCUAGAGCUUUCUCAAGGUAUUUUCCAAAUCUGCAACUGAAGUCCAGAUUCAGUCAAACAAAUGUCCACUUGAAGCUUCCAUGGCCAUCUGAUUCUUGCAAUUAA